UCUGCAAUUUUGCCAAUAGCACAGGAUGCUGUUCUUGGGGCGGAUUGUUUGCCCAUCUUCCCUCUCAGCUUUCCCUCACUGUGGGCCUUAUCCAGCUGUUCUAAACAGAGUCCUUCCAGCAUGGAGUCAUUCUUGUUAUCAUCAUGUUUAAUAACUGCAGGAGUUGAAGAGUCUGCUGGAAGGUCAAGUGUGCUCCUUGCUGGGUCUUGAUGUUCUGGGUUUGCAUUGAGGCAGGAAGACAGACCGUUGCCACCAACUUUUUUGGAUUGAGAGAGAUCUUGAGGACUGUACUACAAAUGUUUUGUAGCCAUUAGAGGAGG